rnacentral:snRNA from 1 species
GUACAGGCUUUGGCAGCACAUAUACUAAAAUUGGAAUCACACAGAGAAGAUUAGCAUGACCCCUGUGCAAGGAUGACUGGAGAAGGCAAUGGCACCCCAUUCUA